rnacentral:lncRNA from 1 species
GAACGUCUCCCAGAGUAAGAGCCAGACGGACCAAUCGAAGCCCGGCGGGCCCCAGACGUCCAAGCCGGUGGGCGUGGCAAAGGGAUGAGGGUGGGACGAUGCGGUGUUGCCAUGACGACGGCUUCCGGGAGGGCAGGUUGAGGUGACUUCCGGCCGGAAGGCGAGACUCCGCGGGAAAAGCGCCUCUGGUUGGUAGACCGGUAGGUUUCUGGCUGAGGCCGUUUCCUCAAGAGCCACCGUGGGUCUGUGCUAGGGUCACGCCACCGGCCUCCGUUUCCUUUAUCCUCCUCUCUCACCAAACGCUUUUCCUGUCCAGUUAUAAAGUCAAGUUGUUUCCCUAAGGAAUUCAUCAUUUUGAAGAUACAAUUACUACUUCACUUUAACAAACAGGUAAUUUGUGCUGAGUCUGGCUCCUCUAUUUUUGUCUUCAUCGUUUAAGUUACUCAAUUGUGCUAUCUCUUCAGAGAAUUUCCCUAAUAAUUUUUUCCUAACCUCAGAUUAUUGUGCCUUAUAUUUCAUAAUUUUAUUUAACUAACCAAAUAUUAAAAU